GCAGCGCGGUGCCUGCUGAUCCGGCAGGAGAAUAGGAAAGAGGGUGCAAGUCCCUCACGGUCACGCCGCUGUAAUGGAGGAGCUCCUCCCCAAUGAUGUCACUGGGCAACCGGGAAGGCGGGGAGGCGUCAGGAUACCAGAGUCAGAAGACCUGCCCGCUGC
rnacentral:ncRNA from 1 species